GCAAGACCGUGUGUCCGGUGGUGCGGCGAGUUGUCGGCUGCCGGAGUUAUCCGCUGAUGGCAGCGUUGUCGGUGGCGGUGCUGGCCCGGAGAGUGCGGGAGUGAAGACAUCUUCAUGGAUAUGAAACUGGACACACGAGUUGAUGAAGUUCAGCUACUGGGUUCUUCCAUUUCUGGGGACUGCUUGGCUUCCUGCUAAACCCAGCUUUGGCUUUUUCCUGGGGAGGAGCAACUGGAUUUUUUUGCACCAGAAAAGGUUACUUACCUGGAGCACACCGGAGAUCCACAUAGGCCGGCUACCUCAAGGCUGGAGCCAUGACAGCUGUCAGCCACUACUUUGAGGCUGCCUGGCCACUUCCGGUGCCGCUGUGCUCACUGGGAGGAAGAGGCGGGUCCUAGAUGGCUGGCGCUUGCGCAGUCGGCUGGUGGAGAGCAAGACCCUGUAUCCGGCGGUGUUGGCGUGUUGUCCGCUGCCGGAGUUAUCCGCUGAUGGCAGCGUUGUUGGUGGCGGUGCUGGCCCGGAGAGUGCGGGAAUGAAGACAUCUUCAUGGAUAUGAAACUGGACACACGAGUUGACGCUGAAGUUCAUCUGCUGGGUUCGGAGGCAGCACGGGUGGGCAGCGGCUCAGCCAUGAGGAAGCCAAGAAGCGGAUGUCUGCCUCCCCUCCUCCCCCGCAGAGGGCACGGAUGUGAAACUAACGCAGGGUGGGCGCUGAAGCUCAGCUGCUGGAUAAUCUUCCAGUUCCGGAGACUGCACGGCUUCUGCUCAACCCCAGCUGGGCCUUCAUCCUGGAGAGGAGCAGUGAAAAGAGUUAUUUGCCAAAGAGUGAAUAUCAAGGCCUUGACUAAUAUUCUAUCGAGGGCACAGUGUUCCACUCCCAAAACAAUGUAACCCAGUGGUUUUUAGUAAGACAACGGCUGAAUUUCGCAAAGGAAUUCCUUACUGUUAGUAAGACUUCUGAAAAUUCACUAGUGAAAAUAAAUGCCACGAAAUCUAACAUUAGUACUCUGAACUGAAUUUGAUUAUGCCGGACCUCUAAGAAAUGAAUUGUAUUCUGCUGUGUUGCUAUGCCCGUUCAUGAGGCAUAGCCAUUUUAAAGUAAAGCAUCUAGGGGAUUCCAAACUAGCAGAAUAGGGAAAGGGUGUACUGCUUCAGGCUUGGGGGGAAAAACCGUGGAUGAAGUAUAUUCUUAGGGGAGACUUGGAGAGCAAAGCACAGGAAGUGCUGAGGAAGGAAGAAGGACACCGUGGAUCGUGGUGGAAGGCCCACGUGGACGCAAAGCAGCAAACACAGACCCAAGACACGACCCCAGGAGCCGAGAGCGGGAGACUGCACCAGCUUUGGAGACCAUCGGACACAUUGCUGGGGAAAGCAGACAUGAGCCUCCUUCAGCACCGGACACAGCCUAGGAUCCUGCUGGGCUCAGGACCUCCCCUCCCAUCUCGAGUCCCACGAGAAAAGAGUUAUUUGCCAAAGAGUGAAUAUCAAGGCCUUGACUAAUAUUCUAGCGAGGGCACAGUGUUCCACUCCCAAAACAAUGUAACCCAGUGGUUUUUAGUAAGACAACGGCUGAAUUUCGCAAAGGAAUUCCUUACUGUUAGUAAGACUUCUGAAAAUUCACUAGUGAGAAUAAAUGCCACGAAAUCUAACAUUAGUACUCUGAACUGAAUUUGCUUAUGCCGGACCUCUAUGAAAUGAAUUGUAUUCUGCGGUGUUGCUAUGCCCAUUCCAGAGUCAUGGCCAUUUUAAAGUAAAGCAUCUAGGGGAUUCCAAACUAGCAGAAUAGGGAAAGGGUGUACUGCUUCAGGCUUUGGGGGAAAAAACGUGGAUGAAGUAUAUUCUUAGGGGAGACUUGGAGAGCAAAGCACAGGAAGUGCUGAGGAAGGAAGAAGGACACCGUGGAUCGUGGUGGAAGGCCCACGUGGACGCAAAGCAGCAAGCCCAGACACAGCACAUGACCCCAGGAGCCGAGAGCGGGAGACUGCACCAGCUUUGGAGACCAUCAGACACAUUGCUGGGGAAAGCAGACAUGAGCCUCCUUCAGCACCUGACACAGCCUAGGAUCCGGCUGGGCUCAGGACCUCCCCUCCCAUCUCGAGUGCCACGAGCUGUCGGACACAUUGCUGAGGAAAGCCAGACAUGAGCGCCUCCUUCAGCACCGGACACAGCCUAGGAUCUGGCUGGGCUCAGGACCUCCCCUCCCAUCUCGAGUGCCACGAGGAAUGUUUGUUCCCGUUCUCUGCUGGGGCAGAUGCUAUGGUGGGGCCUCCUCCUUGACGAAGCUGUGGGACUCAGAGCCAGGCUCUGUGUGGCCCGACGAUCCUGCUGACCCCGGCCUCCUGCAGACCAUGGCCGCCAUACCCCUGGCCGCGUCUCCAGCUUUUCAAGUGGGAAGAAACCACCCCGCUACCCAGGACCUGACUUCUGUGGGCCAUCCUCAGUAAGCCCCUAAAAUGCGCACGUUCCACGUGAGGAAGCUGAGGAACAUUCAUGUUGAGUCACCCUCACUGCUAGGAGGAGAUGGAGUCGCGACUGCAGCUCGGGCUUUCCUGCUUUGUAAUCCCGACGCCUCCACCACUGCUGAAUGGAAGUAGUUACUUCUGGAUUGGGUAGGUGAGCGCAUGCCGUGCAUUUUGGCUACUGCACAGAGCCAGGAAUCUGGGAACCACAAUUAUGUCACCUCCAGAAAAACUGCUUCUGUGUGGGUGAGUAGGCAGUGUUGCUGUGAGAGGACAGUUUUCUCUCCAGCUGGGACGCUGAGGAUGGGUAAUGUUUCUGACUCCCCUAAACCCCUGGGUUGGUGUGGCAACUGCUCCUCCUGUUGCUCACCAAGCAUACUGAGGCUUCUGGGCUGGCGAGUGAUUUGUAGUAUUUCCUAAACUCUUCCCAGCUACACUUAAAAGACACGGACCCUACUUGCAGGCUCCAUCAGAGAAGUAAAACUGCUAACCUGAAACAAAAUCUAUCUGAGAAGUAAUGAGAGGAUUAAGUAUAUUGUAGGGAAAACAUGAGGAAUUUGGAGACAGCCUUAUGUGCCCUGUUUAUAUCAUCGUGAGCAAGUAAUAAUUUAUUUUCUCUGUUUUCUUAUCUGUUAAUUAUACCUUUUCUUUUUAUUUUUCUUACUGGUUACCCUGGAGUUCCCAGCUCUAUAAUUACAACUAAUGCAAAUCCACUGUUAAAUAACACUAUCCCACUCCACAGUAAGUAUCUUAUAAUCAUAAAAUAUUUCUGAUUCCUCCCUGUCAUCCCUCAAAUAUCAUUACUGCCAUUCAUUUCACUUAUAUGCAAGCUUGCAUGCAAAUAUAUGUGUGUGCAUACAUAGGUACAUUUUGCAUUAUUAUUUUGAACAAAUUAGUACCUGAUCCACUAAGAAUAAGAAAAAUAUAAUACUGGACAUUUUUUAAAAGAAUGGGAAAAAUAAGUUUUUUUUUAAUUUUUUUGACAGGCAGAGUGGACAGAGAGAGAGAGACGAGAGAAAGGUCUUCCUUUUCCAUUGGUUCACUGCAUAAAUGGCCACUACAGCCAGUGCACUGUGCCGAUCCAAAGGCAGGAGCCAGGUGCUUCUCCUGGUCUCCCAUGGGGUGCAGGGCCCAAGGACUUGGGCCAUCCUCCACUGCACUCCCUGGCCACAGCAGAGAGCUGGCCUGGAAGAGGGGCAACCGGGACAGAAUCUGGCGCCCCAACAGGGACUAGAACCCGGGGUGCUAGCGCCGCAGGCGGAGGAUUAGCCUAGUGAGCCGUGGCGCCGGCCAAAAUAAGUUUAAUUUUGACUUCCCCUUAUUCCUUCUCUGAUACUUUCUUGAAGGAGAUCUGUGCCUUUGACCUGUAUGGUUUUCCUUCUCUUUGGGAACCCUCUUUUAACAUUUCUUGCACAGCAGGUUUACCAGCAACAAAUUCCCUCAGUUUCCCAUGAUGCAUAGUUCUAGUUGGGGUUUUAUUCCUCUCAACUGUUUGAAUGUUUCACCUCACUCUCUUAUUGCUUACAGAGUUUCUGAGUAGGAAUUAGGUGUAAUUCUUACUUUUGCUUGUCUACAGGUGAGGUGUCUUUUGAUGCUUGUUCAAUUUUUUUAACUGAUUUUUGAUUUUCUGCAGUAUGAAUAUGAUAUGUCCAAGUGUUGAGUUUGGGUUUGUUUGACAUUUAUCCUGCUUGACAUUAAUUCUGGAAAUUUGCAGUGAUUAUCACUUGAAAUGUUUUCUCUAUUCUUUUCUCUCUUUCCUCUCCUUUUUCUGUUCCUGUUGGGCAUAUGGUAUGCCUGCUGUUGUCAAUAGUUCUUAAAUAUUCCUUCUAGGGUCUCCCUACUUUUUAAGUUUUGGAUGUUUCUGUUGAGAUAUUCUCAAGCUUAGAGAUUGUUUUCUCACCUGUGGAGUGUCUACUGAUGAAUCCAUCAGAGGUAUUCUUCAUUUCUGUUAGUGUUUUGACCUCUAGCAAUUCAUUCUGAUUAUUCUUAGAAUUUCUGUUUCUCUGCUUAUGUAAUGCAUCUGUUCUUGCAUAUUGUCUACUUUUUUCAUGAAAGCCUCUGCCAUAUUAGUCAUGAUUGUUUUAAAUUCCCAAUGUGAUAAUUCCAAAAUCUGCAGCAUAUCUAUGACUGGCUCUCUGAUACUUGUUCCAUCUCUUCAAACUGAUUUUUUUUUUUUUUGCCUUUUAGUAUACCUUGUGAUUUUUCUUGAUAGCUGGACAUGCUGUAGGCAAAAGGAGCCUGAUGUUGGCACCCAUGGUGGUUUCUGCCUAUGGGUUUUUGCUCUGAUAAAUAGUGAUUUUCUGUUUGCCUUUGGGACCCUGAAUUCCAGGGGCAGCGGUUUGCCAUGUGGCUUCACUUCUCUGACAGAUC